UACGGAGGGGGCUAGCGUUGUUCGGAAUUACUGGGCGUAAAGCGCACGUAGGCGGACUGUUAAGUCGGGGGUGAAAUCCUGGGGCUCAACCUCAGAAUUGCCUCCGAUACUGGCAGUCUCGAGUGCGGGAGAGGUGAGUGGAAUUCCCAGUGUAGAGGUGAAAUUCGUAGAUAUUGGGAAGAACACCAACGGCGAAGGCAGCUCGCUAGGACGGUACUGACGCUGAGACGCGAAAGCGUGGGGAGCGAACAGG
rnacentral:rRNA from 1 species